GACGAACGCUGGCGGCGUGCCUAAUACAUGCAAGUCGAACAGUGGCGGACGGGUGAGUAACACGUGGGUAACCUACCCAUAAGAGGGGGAUAACACCGAGAAAACGGGGCUAAUACUGGAUAGUGGGGGAUGGGCUCGCGGCCUAUCAGUUUGUUGGUGAGGUAGUGGUCACCAAGGCGUGACGGGUAGCCGGCCUGAGAGGGCGACCGGCCACACUGUGACUGAGGCACGGCCCAGACUCCUACGGGAGGCAGCAGUGGGGAAUAUUGCACAAUGGGCGAAAGCCUGAUGCAGCGACGCCGCGUGGGGGAUGGCGGCCUUCGGGUUGUAAACCUCUUUCAGCCAGGAAGCGGUACUUGCAGAAGAAGCGCCGGCUAACUACGUGCCAGCAGCCGCGGUAAUUC
rnacentral:rRNA from 1 species